UCCUUCUACUUUCUAACACUUCUAUAAUAAAUUUCCUGUAUUAAAUCCCUUUCUGAGUGAAAUACCUAGAGUAGACUGACAUCAAAAAAAAAGAAGUUUGGAGUGUCUGCUCCAUGUUGGAUAAAAAAACUAAAUAAAAUCCAGGGAAAUGUGAAGAAUGCCAAAGAAAUGGAAAAAUGAGGACAGAAAAGAAUACUGCUGCCUCAGCACUGAAGUUGUUGGAUUGACAGAAGUUGGAAUUAGACUUCUAAGUUAAUGAGAGAUAAAGUAGAGAUAUGUAACAGAGACAGCUAAGUGCUUUGUUGAGCUCAGCCCCAGCCAUGGAAACUGAGUUUCUGUGGCCAUAGGUCAAGCUGGAAAACAUUUUUCCAUAAAACCGUGUGCAAUUUCAUGCCAUAGGUGAAAGAAUAGCCCAAAUCCACAAGGUA
rnacentral:lncRNA from 1 species